GUGUCAGCCGCCGCGGUAAGACGAAGGUUGCGAGCGUUGUUCGGAAUCACUGGGCUUAAAGCGCAUGUAGGUGGACCAGAAAGUAGUUUGUGAAAUCCCCCGGCUUAACCGGGGAAUUGCUUGCUAAACUGCUGGUCUUGAGGCAAGUAGGGGUGCAUGGAACUCUUGGUGGAGCGGUGGAAUGCGUAGAUAUCAAGAGGAACGCCAGAGGUGAAAACGGUGCACUGGGCUUGUUCUGACACUGAGAUGCGAAAGCGUGGGGAGCAAACGGGAUUAGAUACCCCUGUAGUCC
rnacentral:rRNA from 1 species